GUGUAAUACCCCCAGAGAAUGUCAUAGGUCACAUAAGUAGGGAGGAGGGUGUUCAUCUAUACAACUCCUGGAGAAGUCAGAGUGCAGAGUUGUUAGACGGUUAGAGAGAAAAUAGUUAGAGAAGUAGAGUUGCCCCUAGCUAGCGCCUCUGCUCCCUCCCAUCCUGGCAGGCUAGAGCAUAUCCAUAUGACUAGCCACCAAUGCAAGCAGACUGCACUAUGACCCAGAGAGGCAUGUCUGACCUCGGACAGCGGUCAGAGAGCGUCUUCCGAUUAGCUGGUUUCUCUGCCAGUCGGGUACAUCAGGAUUCUUAUAAGGCCACCGAGCAGGUCCCUGAAGCCACAAGAAUAAGUGAGAUCGUCUCCCCCACUCCCAGGAAAGGCUUCAGAAUAAGCAGGAAAAGACGGAAAGAUCUAACGAUACAAAAAGAUGGAGGAAUUUGGAUCCACCAUCACCCACAUUCUAAUUCUGGAUUCACCAUUUACUAGCUCUAUGAACUUCAAUCCUUCGUGAAAUCGUUUGACCCAGCUCUGAUUUAGAAGAGGUUCUGGAGAUUCCAGUUUAAAACCCUCAGAGGGCAAACAGCGGCAGCUCUGUGGAACUAUUCCUUUUAGAAAGGAGAGAACCAAGGCGCAGAGAGGUGGCGUGGCUUACCCUAGAGCGCAUACUGAGUCGGAGUUUCUCCCACUAGCUCCAUGUAGAGAUGGCUCCUCUUCACCACUAUAAGACCAGCAAGAAGGACCUAGAUGGUAGAGGAAUUGUCUUCCUCCCCUAAACCAGAAUUCACCAUCCAUCACAGAGGCAGACAACCAGGGACAUGGAUCUGUGGAUUCUUUUAUCUCACCAUCCACCUCUCUGCAAGGAGCCUCACAAGGCCAAACACAGGCUGGUGGGAAGGUGCCAACCAGCAAGGCUACAUGUUCCUCCUCCCUACAAGCAGCCACAUUCCUCACAACCUUUGAAAACCCUUGCCUCCCAUCUUUUGAAGAGACAAAUUUGAGGGUUUACUCUCAUCUCCCGGCUGACAUCACCCAAAAUAAACCCCUUUCCUUGCCAUAAGCCUGGUGUUCCAGUUUUUAUUUUGGCUCUCUCUUAUGUGGUGGGUAAAAGAAUGUGUGUUUGUGGCUGAUAACAGCUCUGCCUGGAGCCUUCGCAUGGCAUUCUCCCAAGCUCUGAGCCUUCCUCCCAUUCCUUCGUGA
rnacentral:lncRNA from 1 species